AAAUCUACUCCCCCAUCUCCAAAGGGUGUCUCAGUCUUUGGCUAAAAACUCAUUAAGACCCCACCCCCUACCCCUUACCCCCAACCCCACAAGCAAAAUUCUCUCAUAUUGCGAACCUAAGCUUGUUGUCUUCUUGAAAUUUUACAUCCAUUUAUAGGGGAUUCAAUUCUUUUAGUGGAAUACACGUGAGGUUGCUGAAAUUUCAGUACGUGUUUGACUUUAGCUGUAAUCGAACAAAGGAGAAUGUUGUGUUCUAUAUGAAGGAAUAGGAAGUGAACUUGGAUUUAAGAGAAGAAAAUUAUGUAUCGGCCUGUGGCAACUACUACCCGAGGCGGAGUACCUACUGAUAGUGGAGAUUCUGUGGUGACACUGGACCAAGUUCCACGUUGGAUUGAUUCUGACAUUAGGUACUUGUACGAGAAUGAAGAUCCGAAUUCCGACUAUGCAGAUCCUUUGUCAUCUGUUUCAGGGUCUGAGGGCAAUGCAAAUGGUAUCGUUUCCAAGUUUCCCGUGGAUCAUGAGAUUAACUCCAAGAUAUACCUGUGGAGAGGAGACCCCUGGAAUCUCGAGGUGGAUGCUGUUGUUAACUCUACAAAUGAGAAUUUAGAUGAAGCACACAGUAGCCCUGGAUUGCAUGCUGCAGCUGGACCUGGUCUUGCAGAAGAAUGUGCUACUCUCGGAGGCUGCCGGACAGGAAUGGCAAAAGUUACCAAUGCUUAUGAUCUUCCUGCUAGGAGGGUCAUUCACACUGUUGGUCCAAAGUACGCGGUAAAAUACCACACUGCUGCUGAGAAUGCUCUAAGUCAUUGCUAUCGCUCUUGCCUUGAACUUCUUAUAGAAAACGGGCUACAGAGCAUUGCAAUGGGUUGUAUCUAUACCGAAGCUAAAAGCUAUCCGCGGGAACCAGCUGCUCAUGUUGCAAUAAGAACUGUACGACGGUUUCUUGAGAAACAGAAAGAUAAAAUAGAGGCAGUCGUUUUCUGUACGAAUACGUCAUCCGAUACGGAGAUAUAUAAGAGAUUGCUUCCUCUCUACUUCCCUCGGAAUAAUCAUGAGGAGGAAAUUGCCCGGUUAAAACUUCCUGCAGAUGUUGGGGAUGAGAAUGGAGAGACUACUACAGCUGAACGUAAAAUAAGAAUAAAACCUUUGCCAAAUUCAAAAACCUCUAGUCCAAAGACCCCCCAAGCUUCUGUUGAUCUAUCUGCCAGUAAUGUUGGUUUGUCCAGAAGGAGUUCAUCCUACUUGGAUUCAUUUUUGGAUCCUGCUUUUAUGUCCCUGAUCAAAGACCCAGAUCAGCGUCGUAGAGAACAAUGGGAAAAAACAGCCCAAGCACAAAAUAGUUGGAACUGCUUUAAAAUGCUUGGAUAUGGUGACCUUGGGGGACCUGCUUUAUCAGCUGCAGAAGAAUAUACCCUUCAUUCUAGAUAUCUUGCAAAAGCGAACUCUCUGAAUCUUUCAGAAAUCGCGGAAAUGAAAAUCGUUUACCGAGGAGGGGUUGAUAGCGAGGGUCGUCCAGUUAUGGUAGUCGUGGGAGCACAUUUCUUGCUAAGAUGUCUUGAUCUUGAGAGAUUUAUUCUGUACGUUGUAAAGGAGUUUGAGCCUUUGAUUCAGAAGCCUUACUCAAUAGUGUAUUUUCACUCUGCAGCAUCUUUACAGAUGCAACCAGAUCUGGGAUGGAUGAAGAGAUUACAACAAAUACUUGGACGGAAACACCAGCGUAACCUUCAUGCAAUAUACGUUCUUCAUCCUACUUUUGGACUGAAGUCUUCAAUCUUUGGUUUGCAACUCUUUGUCGAUAAUGUGGUGUGGAAGAAGGUAGUAUAUCUUGAUCGUCUUCUACAGCUAUUCCGCUAUGUUCCUCGUGAACAACUAACGAUUCCAGAUUUUGUAUUCCAGCAUGAUUUGGAAGUGAAUGGAGGUAAGGGCCUAAUAGUGGAUCCAAGAACAAAAUAUGUUUAUCAGAGACCUUAAUGUCCAUAUCCAUAAGAGCUUCAACUCAAAGAUCCAUCAGUUAAACCAGCUAUGGAAGAUGCAUUAAGUACUUCGUCCGGCUCCAAAACAAACACAGUUUGACGCUCAACAUGCAUCUCAGAGAUGGAAAUAAUUCUAGUGAAGGAUUUUCCUAUCUUAUCAUCCCAGACAGUGUGGGCUACAAAAGGGAGAGGGGAUACAAAAAUUUUGCAGACCUUCCUUUGCUAGAGCAUCUACUACCUUGUUUUGUUCUCGGUAACUAUGCUGGACCGGAGGUCUUCCUAGCCUUUGAAGCAUCAACCUGCAUUCAUGAAUAAAGGAGUUAAAUAGGGCAUUCUUAGAUUUCAACAUGAUGAUUAUGUCUUCAGGAUCAAUAUUAAUUAUAAUGGGAGUUAAGUUAUGUUGCAGGGCUAGUUGAAGGCCCUUCCAAAGGGCCAAAAAGCUCCAGUUAUUAGUAGCAUGGAGGAAAGAUUGAGCAAAGCCCAGAACCCAAUCACCAUUAGCAUUGCGAAUCACACCACCAAUACCUUCUUUACCAGGAUUACCAAGACUAGAGCCAUCAGUAUUAAGUUUAAAGUAAUGUCUAGGAGGGGGAAUCCAACUUAAGUGAAUGGUGAUAGGUUUUUUUGGAAUAGAGUUUGAGCAUAGUUGGAAAAAUUCAACAGCUUCAGAGUAGGCAGAUUUGAAGAAGGUGGGGGAGGAUCUAUUAUUGAAGAUGUUGGAGUUUCUAUUCCUCCAUAUGUUCCAGAGGCAGAAGGGUAAGAGAGUUGACCAAUUGAGUAGAUGGUUAAAGUUGGAGUUCUUAAAAAGCAUCCAGGUUGAAUUCCAGUUUGUAGGAUGAAACAUGUGAGGAUUAAUGUCAUGAUCUCCCUGGUAAAACUGGCCAAGUUCAUGCCAAAGAGAGUUGGCAUAAGGACAACUGAAAAAGAGGUGAGGGAUGUCUUCAAGUUGAUGAGAGCAGAGAUGGCAGUAGAGGGUUAUGUGGAUCCCUCUAUAACCAAAGAUGGGGUUUAGGGGAAGGCUGUUGUGGUGAAGAAACCAGAGGAAGAAUUUAAGCUUGUUAGGCACAGAGAGCUUCCAAAUCCAACCAAAAGAAAAGGGAUUAGGAGUAUAAGUUUGGGUCAUAGAUACCAGAUACUUAUAAACAGAUUUGCAAGAGAAUAAUCCAUUUCCAGUGAGGGUCCAGAGGGGGGUGUCAACAGCAAUGAGAGGGUCAGGCCUAAACAAGUUGUACAUGCUAAGCUGAAGAUCUCUAAGAAUAUAAAAAAAUAGGAAAUGAAAGGUCUAAUUUCUAUUCUACCAGAAAAAGAAGAGUUUGAGAGAAUGGGUAGGAUGAGGAAUAAGGCCUUGGAUGAUAGAUCUCAGGAGGGGAUGGCAAGGGAUCCAUCUAUCCUUCCAAAUAUCAAUGUUGUGGCCAUUGUAAACAGACCACUGGAUAAUCCCUUUACGAAGGGACCAUGCUUUAUGGACAUUUCUCCAGGUUCUAGAGGAAGAGGAGGAAAACUUUCCCCUGGAAUGCCUUCUCUGGAGGACUCUAGCCCAUAAGAAGAAAGGAUUGAAGUGGAGUCUCCAGGAUAGGAUACAAAGGAGGGUGUCUUCCUUAAUGUGGGCCUGUUGUAUGCUAAGGCCACCCAUAUGCUUGGGCUGAGUGAUGGUAGCCCAAUUAACCAUAUGCAUCUUCCUUCUUUCUAUAGUGAAGCCCCAAAUGAAAUCCUUUGGGCCCUAUCAAUUCUAUUAUGAAUCUUUCUAGGAAGCAGAAUGUAUCGCAUGACAUGACUGGAAAUACUGCUAAGACAGACUUUAGCAAGGGUGGUCCUCCCUACCAUAUUCAAAAACUUGACUUUCCAACUUGCAAGUUUAUUACUGAUAUUAUCAAGGAUAAAUUGAAAGUCAGAAAGCUUAUGCCCACCCUGAAAGAUGGGGAAGUCUAGGUAUCUAUCAAAAGUAUUGCUAGCUUUUAUGCCAAGGAUGGAGGAGAGGGAGGUUUUGGUGGAAUGAAGAUAAUUCGAGGAGAACAACACUUUGGAUUUCUCCACAUUUACCUUUUAAUCAGAAAAUGUGCUGAAAUUAUGGAGGGUCUUAACCAUGGUAGCAUAGUUGAGCUAGUCAGUUCUAGCAAAAAGAGUCAAGUCAUCAACAAAGAAGAGGUGGCAUAUCGUUGGCCCCCUGUGGUUGAUUUGGAUGAGGUGACAUUGUAGAGUAUCAACUUCAUAAUUGAUUCUUCUGGACAGAAGUUUCAUACAGAGUAUGAACAAAUAGGGAGAAAGGGGGUCCCCUUGUCUUAUACCUCUUGUAGGUUGAAAACUUGGAGUAUGACUUCCAUUAACAAGGAUAGAGAUGGUGGAAGAAGAGACACAAGACAUGAUAAUAUUAGAGAGUCUAGGGGGUGAAGUUGAAGAAAAAUAGGGCUUGUCUAAUGAAGGACCAUUCUAGCCUAUCAGCAACCUUCUCAAGAUCAAUUUUUAGGAUCAUGUGUGGGGUUAAACCUUUCAUUUUCCUGAAAUGAUUAAUAUACUCCUGAACUAUAAUUGCAUUAUCAGAGGAUCUUCUCUUGUACAGAAAACUGGCUUGAGUUUCUCCAAUGAGGGAUUGCAGAAAAGGCUUAAUUCUAUUAGCAAUAAUUUUAGUGAUAAUUUUGUACUGAGUAUUACAAAGACCAAUAGGUCUAAAGUUCUUGAAGCAGUUGCAUUUUUGCAUAAGCCCAUUUGAGAAAGUGUUAGUACAAAAUUAUAAGAGGAGAGAAACAAAGAUAUCCCAAAACCUUUGGUACAUGAAGGGGUGCAUACCAUCAGGCGGAGCUUUAAGAAGUUGGAAAGAGAAGAAAAUAUUCUAAUUUCAGCUAAGAAAGGGAUAGAGUCUGGGUGAGACUGGCCAGAGGAAGGAGCAGAGCAUGUCAGGAAGGGGUUUCUCUGGUAUUUAAGAUGAGCUGGGAGAUGAUCAGUCUUGAAAAGAGAAGAGUAGAAGGAUAAGAUGACAUCUUUUAUACCUCUUGGUCAUGGAUUAAAACACCCUGAUCAUGAAGGGAGAGAAUUUUGUUCCUUCUUCUUCUGUUAAGGGUGGAGGUGUGAAAGAACUUCGUAUUCUGAUCACCAUCCUUGAGCUAAUUUAUCCUAGAUUUUAACAUUCAAAAAUCUUGUUCAUCUCUUAGGAUAGAGCUAAAUUGAAUGGUGAGCUCAGUCUCUAAGUUUUAAAGGAAAGAACUAAUAGGGUAGUGAGGAGAUUUUUAGAUUCCAGCUAGCCUAGCUAACGAGAUUUUCUUAUUGUGGAAGAUAUUGCCAAAAGAGUUUCUAUUCCAAGCAGUGGCAGUGUUAACAAAGUCUAAAGUGGCUCUGGUGAGAUUAGAAUUAGUAGGAAAGGAUUGAGCCACUAGGUGAGGACAAUCAGAAUGAUUACACCAUAUAGAUUCAACUCUGAAAGGUUUUGGAGUAGUGAAAGGGUUUCUAGCAAAGGUGAGAAGUAGGGGGAGUGAUCAGAGUGGGUUCUGGGGCAGUAGAGGAUGAAAGCUUCAGGGUAAAGGUGGAUCCAAUGAUCAUUGACUAAACAUCUAUCAAGUAUUUCUAAGAUGAGAUGAUGUUUGUUCCUCUACCUCAUAUUUGACCAAGUAAACUUACUACCUCUAAACCCCAAGUCAAUGAGGUUGUAGUGAUUCAAACAAUCUCUAAAAAUAUAAGCCCUAUAAUAAUUAAUACUAUUACCCCCAAAUUUCUCAGAAGCAUUCAAUAACUCAUUAAAGUCACCACCUAUAAGCCAACUAGUUCCAUCGAGAGUAUAAAGAGAAUUAGCAAAACACAUCAAUUGAUCCCAAAGGGUUUUUCUAAGGGAGAAAAUAUUGCUGGCAUAAAUAAUACUAAGAAUCCAACAAGAAGGAGGAGAACUUACCUUAACAGUGGCAUGAAUGUCUUGGGUAUAGAAAUCUCUUUUAUGGAAAUAGCAUUAUUCUUCCAAAAAAUGACAAUCCCACUCAAGGAGCUAGUAGCAGAGGAUUGAAUAAAAUAAGGAAAGCCCAAUUCAAUAGCUAAGUCCUUAUGUUCAGCCAUCCUGGUCUCUAGAAGGGCAAGCACCGAAGAUUGAUGUAUGCCUAUGAGGGAUUUGCAAUGACCCUUAAAUUCAGCAUUUUUGGCACCCCUAGUAUUCCAUAUUAGACAAUUAUUCAUGAGUAGAGGUUGUUGGGUUUCCUGAAGGAUUGAUUUCUCUUUCCUCGAAGGGGCUGAAGGGCUGGGUAGCUCCAAUCUUUUUCUUUUCCCGGAGAAUGAGGAGAUCUUGAUAUUGCAUGGAUCCCCUAUCAUAGGGUUUAAUAGACCUAUUCCUAUUUCUACCCUUGAUAUAUCCAGAGGGGGGAGGACAAUAACUAGUUCUUGAGUAGCCCCUCGAAGACCAGGUUUACAGGUUUUUCCAAAGUGAGAACAACCGUUCAGGGUAUUCUCAGUUGGUCAAGUAGAGCUUCCAUUUCCACGUUGCUUUCUCUGAGAGCUUAUAGUGUUUUCUCUCUUUCCAGGGCUUCUAUGCUCAGAUGAGGAUUUGAAGGGGGUGGACUCUUGGAGAUCACAUUUAUUAAGAAGGGGCCCUCCCCAUUGAGCCUCACAAAAUGAGGUCCCGCUGCCAGAAGAGUGUGGUUUGGUAGGGGAAAGAAUGGGAGGCUCGAGCUAGUGAUCAUCUCUGUGAUGAGUGAUGGGUUGAGGUCCAUCUGAAAGGAUGGGUGGAGAAUUUACAUGAGAGUGGUCAUCCACACAUUUGGACCAAAGUUUUGGAGUCCCUGGUUAAGGAACUCCAUGGCUAUAAGAGCUAAGUAAUGCAGGUCUUGCAGCAGAAUUAUGACUUGAGUUCCCUCCCACUAAAAGUGGAGAGGGAUUGAUUGGCUUACUAGACAAACUUUCAUCUAGGAUGCUGGCAUGUGAGAGAGAGGAAGAGGGGUUGUGGUGAUAGUGACCAUGUUCGGGAUAGAGGUGCUCAUUGUGCUCAAGGGAAGAACAUUGCAUAGCAUCCCCAUUAGUGGUAUUAAGAGGUUGAAGGGGAAUGUGAAGAGCCUCUGUCUUGGAAAACAUAGUGGCAUUAACUGCCUUGUCUAUGGAAUGAUUAUUGGCUAUCAAAUCACUCUGGGAAGAGGAAGAGAUUGACAACAUGAGUGGAGGAUUACGAAGCUGAGGGGUAGUAAUCAUUUGAUGAGGGAUGGGUCCCAUGGGGUAAAUCUUUUUUCUUUUCAGUAUUAGAAAUAGAAGGAAAGUAGUGGGAAUUAUAAUUGGAAGAGGGGUAUUUAGAUAGCUUAUCAUGGGUCGAGUUAAUAACGGGUUCUGAGGGAGAAAAUGGGCCUAACUCAUCAUGGCCUAAGGUGAGAGUACGAAUAGUUGGAGGGGUUGGGCCCAAGGAAAGGCUAGGCUUGAGGUUUAAGCCCAGGGGAGAAGAAGGGGGGAGUUUAUUGAGAUUAUAAUCUAGGCCAUGAGUGUUAACAUUAGUAGAAGAGGCGAGUUGGCCCAAUUGACACUGAAGCAAUCCAGUAACAUUGAUGACCCGAGAAGGCCCAACUGAGUUUGGGAGCCCUAACUGGGGAGUAUUGUCGACGUUCAUGGAUGCCACCGCUUCAAGGGAGAGAGAGUUAGGGGACUUACCUGGAGCAGGGAUAGGGGCGUCAUUACCUCGAUCUUGGCGUAUCCGAUGGAGAGACAAAUCAGAAGGCUUCUUACCAAAUCGCUUUCGAAAGGAUAUAGUCUUCCACUCUUUGCAUGGAUCAACUACCAAAGCUGGAGAAUCUUCAGAUAUCGUGGAGGAGGAAGUUGCCAGGACCGGAUGAGGACGUUUCUCAGGGCAAGAAAUGGCGAUAUGUCCUAAACACCCAUAAUUUUUACACAGGAUUCUCUUGCCUUUAUACAGAAGUUGUUGUUUGUGGUCUCCGAUAGUGAUCGAAGUCUUAACCGGCUUACCCAAUUCAAUUUGUACGCAAAUUCGUGCUUAUCAACCUCAAAUUGUAGAGGAUGUGCAAGCGUCUACCUUAAGAAGGACCCCGAUUUUCCAGCCAAUUCGUUCAAGAAUGGAUUGGUUAUAAAAUUCUGUGGGUAAUUGGGGUAGGCGAACCCAGAUCACAGUGAAGUCUAUCUUGGAAGUGCUCAGUACGAAAUUAGGCUCCCAUUUUCUAACUGAGAUAAAACUGCCAGCGAUAAACCAUGAACCCCGUUACAAGGCGAUUUCCUGGCUGUCUUUGCUCUUGAAUUUAGCGGUGAAGAAUCCAUAACCCAGAUCAAUUAGGCAAAGCGGUUCAGAGAGAUGCCACAAAGCAUCUAAUUUGGUUUUUAGAUAUUGGUGAGUAAGCUUAUCCCCAAAAACCUUUAGGAUAACGGAGAAUUGUCAUGGUGAUUUAGAUUCUGAGUUUCUCAUCAAGGGUGAGGUUAGUCAAAUCCCCUUCAAAGUCAGAUAAGCCAACAUCAAAAUCAAUGGGAGUCAUAGGUUGGUCAAAGGACAGAACGGUAUUGGAGGUGAUGUCUUUGUAAGAGGGUUUGGUUGCCAUUAUAGGUGCGGUGGAAAGUGCGUAGGAGGUCCGUAAAGGGAAGAGAAGAGUUGAAGUUAGAGAAGGGCGAGACCGUCUCUCACUAACCUAUUUCUCCCGUUCGCUCUAAUACAAAGUGAUAAAUAAAAUAGCUAUAAGUUAACUGAUAUAUCAAUACAAAGUGAAUUGAUUCACUAAACAAUUAUUAUGUCUGAUAAUUAAAGCUGAAAUUAUCUCUAUUUCUCAAAUUUUCCCACUCAGGGGCAUUUGGUUCACCAAAAAUGUAACUAAUAUUUGGUUUACGAAAAAAGUAAUCAUUUCUUUUUUAG